rnacentral:tRNA from 1 species
GGGCCUAUAGCUCAACCUGGGAGAGCACUAGACUGAAGAUCUAGGUGUUCAGGGUUCAAAUCCCUGUAGGCCCA